AAACUAACAAAACAACAAGGGCAAUAAAGAGUUUGUUAU
rnacentral:guide_RNA from 1 species